GGUAGUAGCAAGUAUUCAAAUGAGAACUUUGAAGACUGAAGUGGAGAAAGGUUCCAUGUGAACAGCAAUUGGACAUGGGUUAGUCGAUCCUAAGAGAUGGGGAAAUCCUGUGUGAAGGGCGCAAUGCGCGCCGCCCAUCGAAAGGGAAUCGGGUUAAUAUUCCCGAACCGGGACAAGGCAGUGGGCGGUAAUGCCGACGAAUCCAGAGACACUGGCGGGGGCCCCGGGAAGAGUUAUCUUUUCUUUUUAACGGCCUGCCGACCUUGAAAUCGGUUCAACCGGAGAUAGGGUCUCACGGCCGGCAGAGCACCGCACGUCCUGCGGUGUCCGGUGCACCCCCGGCGGUCCUUGAAAAUCUGGAGGAGCGAGUGCUGAGCUUGCCCGGUCGUACUCAUAACCGCAUCAGGUCUCCAAGGUGAGCAGCCUCUAGUC
rnacentral:rRNA from 1 species